rnacentral:rRNA from 1 species
AACGAACGCUGGCGGCAUGCCUAACACAUGCAAGUCGAACGAGACCUUCGGGUCUAGUGGCGCACGGGUGCGUAACGCGUGGGAACCUGCCCUUAGGUUCGGAAUAACUCCCCGAAAGGGGUGCUAAUACCGGAUAAUGUCCUCGGACCAAAGAUUUAUCGCCUUUGGAUGGGCCCGCGUUGUAUUAGCUAGUUGGUAGGGUAAAAGCCUACCACGGCGACGAUCCAUAGCUGGUCUGAGAGGAUGAUCAGCCACACUGGGACUGAGACACGGCCCAGACUCCUGCGGGAGGCAGCAGUGGGGAAUAUUGGACAAUGGGCGAAAGCCUGAUCCAGCAAUGCCGCGUGAGUGAUGAAGGCCUUAGGGUUGUAAAGCUCUUUUACCCGGGAUGAUAAUGACAGUACCGGGAGAAUAAGCUCCGGCUAACUCCGUG